AACGAACGCUGGCGGCAGGCUUAACACAUGCAAGUCGAGCGCCCCGCAAGGGGAGCGGCAGACGGGUGAGUAACGCGUGGGAAUCUACCCAUCUCUACGGAAUAACGCAUGGAAACGUGUACUAAUACCGUAUACGUCCUUCGGGAGAAAGAUUUAUCGGAGAUGGAUGAGCCCGCGUUGGAUUAGCUAGUUGGUGGGGUAAAGGCCUACCAAGGCGACGAUCCAUAGCUGGUCUGAGAGGAUGAUCAGCCACACUGGGACUGAGACACGGCCCAGACUCCUACGGGAGGCAGCAGUGGGGAAUAUUGGACAAUGGGCGCAAGCCUGAUCCAGCCAUGCCGCGUGAGUGAUGAAGGCCCUAGGGUUGUAAAGCUCUUUCACCGGUGAAGAUAAUGACGGUAACCGGAGAAGAAGCCCCGGCUAACUUCGUGCCAGCCGCCGCAGUAA
rnacentral:rRNA from 1 species